rnacentral:rRNA from 1 species
UAGUCCACGUCGUAAACGAUGGUUACUAGUUGUUUGGUUUUCGGACUGAGUGACUAAGCGAAAGUGAUAAGUAACCCACCUGGGGAGUACGUUCGCAAGAAUGAAACUCAAAGGAAUUGACGGGGGCCCGCACAAGCGGUGGAGCAUGUGGUUUAAUUCGAUGAUACGCGAGGAACCUUACCAGGGCUUAAAUGUAGAUUGACAGGGGUAGAGAUACCUUUUUCUUCGGACAAUUUACAAGGUGCUGCAUGGUUGUCGUCAGCUCGUGCCGUGAGGUGUCAGGUUAAGUCCUAUAACGAGCGCAACCCCUGUUGUUAGUUGCCAGCGAGUAGUGUCGGGAACUCUAGCAAGACUGCCAGUGCAAACUGCGAGGAAGGUGGGGAUGACGUCAAAUCAUCACGGCCCUUACGUCCUGGGCCACACACGUGCUACAAUGGUAGGGACAGAGAGCAGCCACUAUGUGAAUAGGAGCGAAUCUAUAAACCCUAUCUCAGUUCGGAUCGGAGUCUGCAACUCG